CCAGGUGGCGUUGGCGGGAGCGGCGCGCGGAGGGUGGCUCGCGCCGCCGCCUCACGGCAGCGGGCGGGGAGCGCCGGGAGGGUCCGGGGGCACCGCGUUAAUUUAAUAUAAUAUAUUAUAUUAAUAACAAUAUAAUAAUAAUAUCUUAUAUUAACGCGGGUAUAAUAAUACCCCGCGGGGUGCCGGGGAGCUGUGAGCGCAGCAGCCGCCUGUCCCCGCCACCGGUGUUCGGCCACCGCCGUGCGGCCACGUCGUGCGGGGCCCGCUCGGCGGCUGCUGAGGGAGCGGCACGUCUGCCUGCGCAGGGCUCUGAGGCGGCGGCGCUGGGUGACAUUGGGCCGCUCUGUGGGGCGGAGGCGGCUCACGGUGCUGCUUGGUGCACUUGGCUGCUUAGGGUGAAUGGGAGACAUGGGGUGCGUGUAGCUCGUCUCAGGAGGAGGACAUCUGCAGAGAAGUCAAGGACCUGGAAGCAGAAUGAAGCCCUAGUGCACCUCUCACUUUGUGAUCGUGUUCCCAAGCAGCACGGACCAUCUUAUCGGGUAACACUGAAGAGCCACUCUAUGGAUGUGUAACAUGGCUCAGGCAAUGUAAACCUGGCUCAGCGAGUCUCCAUGCGGCGGAAUGUGGCGCAAGGAGUACUUCGGACUUGAGAAACGGUGUUACUCCACUUAACUCGGGGUGCUGAAGCAUCCCUGCCCAAUACCAGCUUUGAGAGUAAUUCACAGUCAUGUAAUUCGCUUGAAACUCAAAUGUUUUCACAAAGCUGGGAAGACAGCACAAGGGACUAAACCCAGUGGGAAAUAACAUUGAGGAUACUUGGCGUUUUCAACACCUUAUGUAAUGGUUAGGUGUUUAAUCUUCUGCUCUCUGAGCCGGUUCAGUAAUGACUACCUCUGUGAGGAAACAGGAUAAAGUUCUUGCCAGUUAAAGAACUACAAUUAAAGUAUUUAUCACUAUUCUCCUUAA